UACGUAGGGCGCAAGCGUUGUCCGGAAUUAUUGGGCGUAAAGAGCUCGUAGGUGGCGUAUCGCGUCUGCCGUGAAAGCCCAUGGCUUAACUGUGGGUCUGCGGUGGAUACGGGCAGGCUGGAGGCUGGUAGGGGCAAGCGGAAUUCCUGGUGUAGCGGUGAAAUGCGCAGAUAUCAGGAGGAACACCGGUGGCGAAGGCGGCUUGCUGGGCCAGUUCUGACGCUGAGGAGCGAAAGCGUGGGGAGCGAACAGG
rnacentral:rRNA from 1 species